AUCGCAUUUGACCCGAAAGGUCGUGGGCCUUAUACAGGAAUAGCUGAUGGCAGAAUUGUGUUGUGGGAUGGAGAGAAAUGGACUGAUUUCGCAUAUACGUCUGCUAAUAGGUCUGGCCUUUGUGACCCAAAACCAUCUCCCCUGAGCUAUUUAGAAAAUGAACACAUCUGUGGUAGGCCUUUGGGAUUACGGUUUGAUAAAAAAACAGGUGACUUGUAUAUUGCAGAUGCAUAUUUUGGGUUGAUGAAAGUAGGGCCUGAAGGGGGACUAGCAGAAA
rnacentral:misc_RNA from 1 species